rnacentral:rRNA from 1 species
UACCGCGGCUGCUGGCACGGAGUUAGCCGGUGCUUCUUCUGUCGCUAACGUCAAAUGAUAGUGCUAUUAACACUACCACCUUCCUCACGACUGAAAGUGCUUUACAACCCGAAGGCCUUCUUCACACACGCGGCAUGGCUGCAUCAGGCUUGCGCCCAUUGUGCAAUAUUCCCCACUGCUGCCUCCCGUAGGAGUCUGGACCGUGUCUCAGUUCCAGUGUGGCUGAUCAUCCUCUCAGACCAGCUAGGGAUCGUCGCCUUGGUGAGCCCUUACCUCACCAACUAGCUAAUCCCACCUAGGCAUAUCCUGACGCGAGAGGCCCGAAGGUCCCCCUCUUUGGCCCGUAGGCAUCAUGCGGUAUUAGCCAUCGUUUCCAAUGGUUAUCCCCCACAUCAGGGCAAUUUCCUAGGCAUUACUCACCCGUCCGCCGCUCAACGCCGUUAUCGUUCCCCGAAGGUUCAGAUAACUCGUUUCCGCUCGACUUGCAUGUGUUAGGCCUGCCGCCAGCGUUCAAUCUGAGCCAUGAUCAAACUC